GUUCUCGUGCGAUCCCCGAAGUUAAGCAAAGUCGAGUCUGUUCAGUACCUAGAUGGGUGACCGCUUGGGAAUACCAGGUGCUGUAAG